rnacentral:rRNA from 1 species
UACAGAGGGCGCGAGCGUUGUCCGGAAUCACUGGGCGUAAAGGGCGCGUAGGUGGCGGCAUAAGGCCGUGGUGAAAGUCUGGGGCUCAACCCCAGAUCGGCCAUGGCAACUGUGUCGCUAGGGCACCGUAGAGGCAGAUGGAAUUCCGGGUGUAGCGGUGGAAUGCGUAGAGAUCCGGAAGAACACCAGGGGCGAAGGCGGUCUGCUGGGCGGUGAACCCGCAAGGGUUCAAUAGCCGACACUGAGGCGCGACAGCGUGGGGAGCAAACAGG